AACAUGAGAGACACAGGGAUUGCCUANUACGGCGAGUGAAGCGGCAACAGCUCAAAUUUGAAAUCUGGCGUCUUUGGCGUCCGAGUUGUAAUUUGCAGAGGGCGCUUUGGCAUUGGCAGCGGUCCAAGUUCCUUGGAACAGGACGUCACAGAGGGUGAGAAUCCCGUACGUGGUCGCUAGCCUUUACCGUGUAAAGCCCCUUCGACGAGUCGAGUUGUUUGGGAAUGCAGCUCUAAAUGGGAGGUAAAUUUCUUCUAAAGCUAAAUACUGGCCAGAGACCGAUAGCGCACAAGUAGAGUGAUCGAAAGAUGAAAAGCACUUUGGAAAGAGAGUUAAAAAGCACGUGAAAUUGUUGAAAGGGAAGCGCUUGCAGCCAGACUUGCCUGUAGUUGCUCAUCCGGGUUUCUACCCGGUGCACUCUUCUACGGGCAGGCCAGCAUCAGUUUGGGCGGUUGGAUAAAGGUCUCUGUCAUGUACCUCCUCUCGGGGAGAACUUAUAGGGGAGACGACAUGCAACCAGCCCGGACUGAGGUCCGCGCAUCUGCUAGGAUGCUGGCGUAAUGGCUGUAAGCGGCCCGUCUUGAAACACGGACCAAGGAGUCUAACAUCUAUGCGAGUGUUUGGGUGUCAAGCCCGAGCGCGUAAUGAAAGUGAACGGAGGUGGGAACCUUUCGGGGUGCACCAUCGACCGAUCCUGAUGUCUUCGGAUGGAUUUGAGUAAGAGCAUAGCUGUUGGGACCCGAAAGAUGGUGAACUAUGCUUGAAUAGGGUGAAGCCAGAGGAAACUCUGGUGGAGGCUCGCAGCGGUUCUGACNGUGCAAUCGAUCGUCAAAUUUGGGCAUAGGGGCGAA
rnacentral:rRNA from 1 species